rnacentral:rRNA from 1 species
UACGUAGGGGGCUAGCGUUGUCCGGAAUCAUUGGGCGUAAAGCGCGCGUAGGCGGCCAGAUAAGUCCGGUGUGAAAGCCACAGGCUCAACCUGUGAAUGCCGGCUGGAAACUGUCUGGCUAGAGUCCGGGAGGGGCGAGUGGAAUUCCUGGUGUAGCGGUGAAAUGCGCAGAUAUCAGGAGGAACACCAAUGGCGAAGGCAGCUCGCUGGGACGGUACUGACGCUGAGGCGCGAAAGCGUGGGGAGCGAACAGG